rnacentral:rRNA from 1 species
GAUGAACGCUGGCGGCGUGCUUAACACAUGCAAGUCGAACGGAAAGGCCCAAGCUUGCUUGGGUACUCGAGUGGCGAACGGGUGAGUAACACGUGGGUGAUCUGCCCUGCACUUCGGGAUAAGCCUGGGAAACUGGGUCUAAUACCGGAUAGGACGAUGGGUUGGAUGCCAUUGUGGAAAGAUUUUUCGGUGUGGGAUGAGCUCGCGGCCUAUCAGCGUGUUGGUGGGGUAAUGGCCUACCAAGGCGUCGACGGGUAGCCGGCCUGAGAGGGUGUACGGCCACAUUGGGGCUGAGAUACGGCCCAGACUCCUACGGGAGGCAGCAGUGGGGAAUAUUGCACAAUGGGCGCAAGCCUGAUGCAGCGACGCCGCGUGGGGGAUGACGGCCUUCGGGUUGUAAACUCCUUUCGCUAGGGACGAAGCGUUUUGUGACGGUACCUGGAGAAGAAGCACCGGCUAACUACGUG